rnacentral:rRNA from 1 species
CCUACGGGAGGCAGCAGUGGGGAAUUUUGGACAAUGGGCGCAAGCCUGAUCCAGCCAUGCCGCGUGCGGGAAGAAGGCCUUCGGGUUGUAAACCGCUUUUGUCAGGGAAGAAAUCUUCUGAGCUAAUACCUCGGGAGGAUGACGGUACCUGAAGAAUAAGCACCGGCUAACUACGUGCCAGCAGCCGCGGUAAUACGUAGGGUGCGAGCGUUAAUCGGAAUUACUGGGCGUAAAGCGUGCGCAGGCGGUCUUGCAAGACAGGUGUGAAAUCCCCGGGCUUAACCUGGGAACUGCACUUGUGACUGCAAGGCUGGAGUACGGCAGAGGGGGAUGGAAUUCCGCGUGUAGCAGUGAAAUGCGUAGAUAUGCGGAGGAACACCGAUGGCGAAGGCAAUCCCCUGGGCCUGUACUGACGCUCAUGCACGAAAGCGUGGGGAGCAAACAGGAUUAGAUACCCUGGUAGUCCACGCCCUAAACGAUGUCAACUGGUUGUUGGACGGCUUGCUGUUCAGUAACGAAGCUAACGCGUGAAGUUGACCGCCUGGGGAGUACGGCCGCAAGGUUGAAACUCGAAAGGAAUUGACGGCGNGAGAGAGACGACGACGACGACGAGGGAGGAGG